rnacentral:lncRNA from 1 species
AGAUGUUGCAGCAGCGAACAAGGAGGCGGAGAUGCACAAAGGAGAGGAGGAAAAGCGCGCUCUGGUACUAAUCCAAGCCCGGCGGCAACUCCCCCAUAUGGUACGAGUUUGUUACCCCCUGCCGCGGGGAAAGAAUAUUUGGAUGAUACAAGGGCUUAUAUUUUUCUGUUUGUACGUGCUCUUAUUGGGAUGAUACGUGAUGAUGAAUAUUGGGUGUAACAAACUGAAUCCUAGAAUUAUUGGAUGCAUAUAUUCCUUCAUACUUUAGUGGUGAAUAGAUAGAAUUCACAAAUGUUUUCAUGGAUAGUUGGAUUCGAUUUUUCAUAUUCCUCCCUACACAGGCUGGGCGGUUUGAGUACAUGGAAACAUAAUUAUAUCCUACAAACCCUUAUUUGGUUUGCUUUCAUCUUUAUGUUGUUGAGUAAAGAAUCAGGAAAUCAUAUAAGGCACCUUGUAUCAUCUAUGUUUCCCCAUAGUGUAUUUGGUUUGUUUGCUUUGGCUAUUGUUGCUGCCAUCUCAAGCGCGACUGAAAAUUGCCAACAUCAGCAUCUUAGUCAAAACAGUUUAGUUAUUAUACUAUACAGAUGAAGCUUAGUGUUUCGUAUGCAGGAUCAAGAUACUCCAGUUUCUGCAUAAGUUCUCCUUGGUACCAAUUUGCAUAUGUGCAGGGUCGGAGCCUUUGGUCUGUUUGCAACUAGAAUUUCAGACACUGGUACAGAGUACGUGUUGGGAAUAUAUACUGAAGGUAUGGAACAUGUUUCUAUUAUUUCCUGAUGGAAUUUGAAAAUUGUUCUUAAAAAGAAACAUUAUAUUGGUGGUUCCUUAUUUUUUUCUGUACAAUUUAUUAAACUUUAGCAAUUCACGAAGCUUGCAUACAUAUAGAAACCCAAUGUAGAUAUUUGUUGUUGGUGAUGAUGAGAAAUCAUGUAUUUGCAUUCAGUGAGAAGAGCCUAUAGCAAGUAGCUCCAUGCGUCCUAUUCGUAUUGUAGCUGGUAUAAAUUGAAUGUAGGAUGUAGGAUCAAUUGUAGAAACUCUAAAUAUUUGUUCAGUCCACAUAACUGGAUUAGUUAGUUGCCAAUAUAUCGCUCGAUUUUAAGCUGGAGAUUUUCCCCCAAAUUUUGUAGCAUAAUAUUUUCUACUGAACAGGAAGAGUUCAGAGCAGGUAGUGGAAUAAAGGUGAUGAACAUAGCUAGCCUAACUUUUUUUUAUUUGUUUGCUCUAGCCAAAAAGUUGGCUCAGCUUCUCCAAUGUUAUUUUGCCUGAGUCAAUAUCAGUACAUGAUAUUUGUUUGUUCCAGCCAAAAAGUUGGUUAAACAUUCGAUGUGUUUGUUGGGCAUCUCUGCCUAAAACAGAAGUUCAAUUCUAAGUUCAAAGUUAUCAGCAUGUAGUAUUGUAAGCUGAUGGUUACCAGGAGAACAUAACAUUGAUAUUUUCUGACAUUGAUCAUAGCUUUGUGCAGUCCGAAUUUUAGGUCAGACUUCAAAGUGCGACGGAAAUAAAAAUAGUUGUACUAGCUGCUUUUAAUGGAUGCAGAUGCUGAGUCCCGGGCUUCCCCGAACUUGGCUCUCCAGGCUGCAAUCGACGGAGGCCGGCCUUGCUUAUCUCCCCUCAUGGCCGAUCAAGGAGGCGAACAGUGUCAAUCUGUCAUCGACACCUCAGGGUAUGGCCGCCACAUCUGGUAAAAAUUUCACAACAGUACUAUGAUUGAUUGAAUGACAAGAAUGCUUCUAUUUCGUCAGUUUAAUUUAGUCUUUGGGCUAUUCGUGGAGAACACACACUCCAUGGUCCAGACUUGUGACUGUACUUAAGUAGAAGAUGGAAUUAUUCUAUGAUCUCUUCAUGGUUGAUCACCGGGUUGCAAGUGAAAUUUGUGUAUGGACUGUGGAGCGUCAGUAUCAUAGUCAUGAGUCGUCAGGCUUCAGUCAUGUGUACUUGGUUGGACAUAUAUGAAGCGUAAGGGACUAGCUCAUUCACACUUGAGAUUUAGUAAUGUUCUUACAAUCAUUUAUUUAUGAUCUGCAGGUCUAAAAAACAAGCACCGGGUCCUUCUCCUCCAUGAAUCAGAUGUCAACAAGGCAACACGAAUCUGCAUGAGGCUGAACAUAAAAGAAAGAAAAUGGAGACAACUCGACGAGUUUAGGAACAACAUGUCAU